rnacentral:lncRNA from 1 species
CUAAAAUUGCACUUCUCCUCUCUCUAAUGAAUCUCCUUAAUGGUAUAAGUUCUUGAGGGUGUGAGGUUUGUGCUUCAAGAAUAGUUUCCUGAACUAGAACAGGAGAUAUUAUAACAUUGUCUUGAUCUGGAGUUGUUUCUUGAACAAUGCUAGGUAUAAGAACCUGAUCCUGAUUAUUGUCAAGAGCAACUGAGGGAAUAGGAAUAUCAACCCAUUCCUCUUUAAAAACAAGGUCGCGAACUCUUUCUCCCCCCACAAACUCAACAUCCUCAAAG